rnacentral:rRNA from 1 species
CAGCCUGCCCAGUGAAAUUUCAACGGCCACGGUAUCCUAACCGUGCGAAGGUAGCAUAAUCACUUGUUCUUUAAAUGAGGACUCGUAUCAACGGCACCACGAGGGUUAUACUGUCUCCUUUAUCAAAUCAGUGAAACUAAUCCCCCCGUGAAGAAGCGGGGAUAUUUUUAUAAGACGAGAAGACCCCAUGGAGCUUCAAACCCAACUACACCCCUAACCCCCAUAACCCCACACCCCCAAGGGCCCUGUAUAGUUGGUUUUAGGUUGGGGCGACCGCGGAGCAUAACAAAACCUCCACAAUGAACGGGCUUACCCCCCUUAUCUAAGAGCCACACCCCUAAGAAUUAGAACACUAACAUAAAAUGAUCCAUUACCUGAUCAAUGAACCAAGUUACCCUGGGGAUAACAGCGCAAUCCAUUUCAAGAGCCCCUAUCGACAAAUGGGUUUACGACCUCGAUGUUGGAUCAGGGUACCCCAGUGGUGCAGCAGCUACUAACGGUUCGUUUGUUCAACGAUUAAAACCCUACGUGAUC